rnacentral:lncRNA from 1 species
CUUUUCCGCGGGCCCCGCCCAGGCGGCUGCCCGUGACCUGCCUGGGCGCGGGGAACUGAAAGCCGGAAGGGGCAAGACGGGUUCAGUUCGUCAUGGGGCUGUUUGGAAAGACCCAGGAGAAGCCGCCCAAAGAACUGGUCAAUGAGUGGUCAUUGAAGAUAAGAAAGGAAAUGAGAGUUGUUGACAGGCAAAUAAGGGGAUCCAUUGGAGUCUUUGGCUGAAUACUAAGCUGUGCAUGCUUAGAGUGAAAUUUCAAGAGACUGGGCAAAGAACAAUUACUAGGAACAGAACAACUACCAGGAAGCUGUAAGCUGAAUAAUUCUUAGAGCUAAUAAAGGAUUGAGAAGUGGUUGAGCUCUGAUCAGACACAGAAAAGAGACUUUGUUGAACCUCUGGGAUGUUCAAUAGAGACCUCAGAAGAGUCACACCUUAAUAAUAAGGAUCAGGUAGGUAGUCCUAGAAAAAAGGCUACCACAAGCCCAUACCAACCAACCAACAAGACUUAAAAGACUUCACGGCUGAUUUGCAGGUAAUUUGACUGCCUGCCAAAGUAAAGAUUAACACUGUUUAAGGGAAGACUACAAAAUGCAGGCACCCAACAAUGAAACAUAUACAGUGGCCAGCAUCCAAUAAGAUACUAUUAUGAAGAAGCAGGAAAAUGUGACCCCAAAACAGGAGAAAAGCCAGGUAAUAGAAAUAGAUUUAAAAAAAAAAAACACCCAAAACCCCCACAAAAAAAGAUGAUUGAAUUUGCAGUCAAGGAUUUUUAAGCAGCUAUUAUAAAUAUGUUGAGAUUAAAGGAUAACUUAAACAUAAUGAGGAGAUAAAUACAAAAUACAGAAAACAACAAAAUGGAAUUUCUAGAGUUGAAAGAUCUGAAAUGAAGUGAAAUUAAAUGAAGAAUCACUGAAUGGGUUUAA